GAUGUGGGGGUAGGGAAGGUGUUCCCUCCAAUUUGGUUUGUGUACAUGAGUGAAGCCAACAAUUAUUUUUAGGGUUCGUCGUCUCAAUGGACGGAUCAGGUCUAACACCAAUCGUGGCUCUCCAACUCUCAUAGAUUCGCGUCGGUGUGUAUAUGUCGAUUCGAGUCUUUUUAAUCUUGAUUAAUCUCCUCUCAGGCGUUACAAGCUGCAUUCAUUCGUCGUCAUCAAUAAAAUAUUUUUACACACUAAAAUCACAAUUAUGAAUUCAAUUGUUCUUAUCUCUCUUCCAAGCGGUGGAUCUACACCUAUAAAAAAAGGCUGGUGGCAAGUUGUUGGGUGUGGACAUACUCUUCCUCGACUCUCAGCCACCCGAAAGAAAUGAAUCACUCACUCGCUCACCAACCAACAACACAAACACAAAAGCGGUAACGUGAUUCAUCUGGCCUUGCAACGAUACCGUAAGUGGUACCAAAACUGAAACGUCUUCAGUUGAUGGGCCUUCAAGAAGUAGUGGCUCAUCAAGGGAAGAAGAGGAAGAUGCAAAUCAUUCGGAUGAGGUCUGAGUACCAGUUUAUAAGAUUACAUUCUAAGAUAUAUUUGAAAACUGAGGGAUGGUCGUGUCUGUAGUUUCCUUGAGUGACUACAACCAUGGUACCCGUGGAGUUCUGAUUCUAAUUCCAGCUCAUGUGAACUUAGCGGAGGAGAAGCUGAUGCUCUGCGACAGUGACACAUGGCAGGAGAGUUAAGGAGGGGGUUGUUCAACUCGCUCCUUUGAGAUGGAUCGGUGAUCGAGGCAGUCGCACCAGAGACAUUUGAGGUUAUGUCUGUCAUCCACAUCCUCUUCCCAACUCAUAUCUUAAAUCCAUAACCGCUCUUUGACAUGGAACACUGUUGCUCAAUGGCCACAAAGUGAGCAUAUAUAUUAUACACUCAUACGUAUGGGUGUUAUCUAUAGUUUUUCAUACAUAAAUUAUUUGAUCACACUUUUUUGUGUACGCCAAAGCACUGGCAAGAGGAAUAAUCCUCAUUACAAACAAAGAUCAAUUGUAUUUUCCUUUUUUUCAUACAUGUUCAAACAUUCUCUUUAUACAUACAACUCUAUGUC